UCUCCUGGGAAGUGCAUGUCUGAGCAGCAAGAUAGUUGCUUUAGGGUCAGGUGCUCUUAACAUCCCUCUCCUGAGGGUCAUGUGGCAGAAUGGACUCUUUAGUGGAAACUUGAUGAGUGACAGCACAGCUGAGGCAAGAAUCACUCUCAGACCGUUUAAGUAGUAUAUUGUCAACAAAUCAGACCCCGUUGGCCUGUGUCAUGUGACUAUUGAGAUAAUAUGAAGACCCAAACUUAUGAGUGAGGGACCUGCUCAGAAUCUGGAGCUAGCAGACAAUCCAAACCAACCUUGUCUCUGCCAAAGUCCUGGGUGUUCUACUUGCAAAAUGUCACAGAGGCUGACAGAGUUGGACACUGAAGCCGGUGCCAAGCAGCGCAAUGAUAAGAAAAAGGGGCUGAAGGUACAGUUCAGAAAGGCCCAGGACAAUAACCAGAAUUCUGAGGCCAACAGAUUCAGCUGCCCUUCUUGAAAAGCUGUAUUUGAGCCUCAUGGACAGGCCAUCCAGCAAGUUUGCCAUGCGUGUGGCAGCUAGCCAAGAGCUCAGCUAGGACAUACAUGGAAAGGGCCCUAAGGACCAGGAGACGACUUAACUGAAGUCCAAGGAUUGGAUGACAGAAGAGAUAAGGAGCCAUUGUUGCAAGGGAUGUUGUGAAGUCAGCUGCUACUGCUUCAGAAAGAGACCACAGCGUCUGAGACAGAAGACUAGAACAUGGAAGUGGCAUGUAACAUUUACAACCUGUUCUGUCAGUAAAGAAUCCCUCCUAGUUAUACUGGUAUGCCAGCCACUGAUAGAAAAGCCCCAGGGAGUGCUAUUCACAAAGUGGGGGUGGGGGUGGUAAAGUAACAGUGUGGGAUCAUGGAGAAGGCAGCCCAAAAAUGAGCUCAACAACCUUGCUUAAAAAACUAAGCUGACCUUGAGUCAGUGUUUCAUCAAAGUAUGAAACUGAACCCUUGUCAUACAUUUUGUUGUGUCAGAAAGUGAGUGACCAAGAGCCCUCACAGAGGGAUUCAUUAGAUUAAGCACUGUAAAAAGAAAUCUGCUCUAAUUCUAGUCUUGUGGUACUGGUGUCUCAUUUUUGAAGAUUCCUACCACUGCCACCAUCUUCUAACCUAAUGAAUGUUAUGUGGGGAUGGCUAUGUUCACAGAAGCCCAAGACAAACCAAACCCUGUCAAACUUAAAAUAAUGAUAUGUCAAACAUCACUCCACUUGACUCAGCAGUGUGUGCCAGGCACAGAAAGUUUCAAAAGGAGUACAAGAAAUAUUUGGGGACUGCUUGUUUUUAAUGGUACAGUUGAAAUUGAAUUACAAAAUUGUAUAAAUGAAGUUUUAUGGCUAUUUUGAUUCUUAGGGUAGCUUAAUCCAUGACUCAUCAAAUACCCCUGUGUGUGCAUGUGCCCAAAUUUUAAAUUCUAAAUCUCCUGGCAGGACUAAUAGCUUGGUUAUAGCAUAGUUUCUCACAUAGUGAUGAUUAUGGCUCCCUCCUCCCCAGAAACCAAAUAUAUGACAGGCUGAGACGCUCAGCUGGCCCUCUAAAUUCCUUCCACCUAGAUUAGCUGGGAAGACUUCCCCACCCCCUAUAGCCUUAAAGGGCCAGUAUACCUGUUUACACCAUGCAUUGCUUGUCCAGUGAGCAUGAUAUCCACUAGACAAAGGCAUCAGGAUUCCCAGUCUCAUUU